AGCCGGGCUGUGCUAACAAGAUAACUCACAAAUCUAAGGGGGAAUGCGAAGGAAAAGCCGGGCUGGUCUAACAAGAUAACUCACAAAUCUAAGUGUCGGAAUACUGAUCUGAGUUCUGCUGGACUAACUCAUAAAUCCAAGUUAAUUAGUGUUGUCUUGCUGUUUCCC